ensembl:lncRNA
GAAACCUGGAGGAGCUGCGUUGAUCAAGUUGGUAUUUUGAUUAUAACUAUUUGAGUCAAUUUAGUUGGUAAUAUUCUUGAGUAUUCUUACUAUUUUGCAAUCACUGUUUACAAUAUCACUAAAUACCGUUUUGUAUCUUUGCCUUGGUCACCACACGGGGGCGCUGGAGAUCCACGAGGACGAGCCAGACAGCGCGCGAGACGGACUGUGCACGCGCGCGCGCGCGUGUGUGUGUGCGUGCGCGCGCGUGUAUAUAUGUUUGGAUCGGGAUCAGAUUGCGGACAAGCUUUGUUUGACUAGCCUCCCCCUCUCAGACGAGUUAAUGGGAUGGAAGUUAUUUGCCACCCUGAGCCGACGAUGCGAGGUUGAACAGAAGCGUCGAAUGAAGAAGAAGAAGAAGAAGAAGGAAAAUAAAGAGGGCGUCAAUAAAUGAGCUGGAGACAAAGAAGUAAAAUACACUCGAGCAGGACAAAGACAGACAGAUGGAGACGGCGGGGGUAGCCUCGGUCUCUCUCUGUGCGUGUCGCAGGCUGGUCGGUGACAGGGACCCCAUCAGCGCAGGAUCAGAGUGGGGAAAUGGGAGGACAAUGUCGGGAGGGGGGAGGUAAUUUAAACCGAUUGGGGAGGCGGUGCGUCCCAGAGGUGCAUAAUUCACUCGUUCAUUAACUAGACCAAACAAGAGCCAAUAUUAAUUAACUCGUUCCUUGUUGUCCGCGGCCCGGCAGCAGCGGAGUGAGUCACACCUGCGGUCAGCGGGUGGAUUGUUUUGCUAAAAAUAACAUUAUUUAACAAAUUUAACACGCGAGGAGCAUUUUGGUUGCGUCUCAACGGCUCUCAACAUGGCGGCUCACAGUGCAAACCACGGCACCGAUCACGUUAAAUAAGCUCCUUUAAUAACUGUGUCACUUUGUUUUUUUUUAACGUAAAACAUGAUUUGCUUUACGCAAAUCAACGUAAUGAGAUCGUUAAAAGGUACUGAAUCUGGUCACUGAAACAAAGAGUGAACAUAUUUGCUUUCUUGGCCUGCACUCAUCUAUUCACGUUGGUCCAUUUAUUAAUGUAACUGAAACUGUAUAUUUUGAUGGUUUUAAGUAACCAUUGAAUGGUCAUUUCUUUAAAAGGGAUUUAUAAAUGGG